GACGAACGCUGGCGGCGUGCUUAACACAUGCAGGUCGAACGGAAAGGCCCUGCUUUUGCGGGGUGCUCGAGUGGCGAACGGGUGAGUAACACGUGAGUAACCUGCACUUGACUUUGGGAUAACUUCAGGGAACUGGGGCUAAUACCGGAUAGGAGCUCCUGCUGCAUGGGGGGGGUUGGUAAGUUUCGGCGGUUGGGGCUGGACUCGCGGCUUAUCCGCUUGUUGGUGGGGUAGUGGCUUACCAAGGCUUUGACGGGUAGCCGGCCUGAGAGGGUGACCGGCCACAUUGGGACUGAGAUACGGCCCAGACUCCUACGGGAGGCAGCAGUGGGGAAUAUUGCACAAUGGGCGGAAGCAGGAUGCAGCAACGCCGCGUGCGGGAUGACGGCCUUCGGGUUGUAAACCGCUUUCGCCUGUGACGAAGCGUGAGUGACGGGAAUGGGUAAAGAAGCACCGGCGAAUUACGU
rnacentral:rRNA from 1 species